UGCAAUAGUGUGAUCAUGGCCCACUGCAGCCUUGACCUCCUGGGUUCAAGUGACCCUCCCACCUCAGCCUCCUGAGUAGCCAGAAGUACAGGCAUGCAACACCACACUCAGCUUUUUUUUUUUUUUAGUAAAUAGUAUUUCUGGGAAGUAAAUAGUAGCAGGCAGAUUGAGGAAGAGGAGAAUCCAAAGUGCCACCAAAGCAGCAGUGUGUGUCUCACUUUUUCCUCUGAAAUACUCUCAUUAAUUUCAUAAGGAAGAGAAAACUUGGCUUUCUACUAAAUUCAGCUCUGAAUUCAGCCCUCCAUUUCCCAAGGGCUAGGACCCAGAGCCAAGUCAGCCCGCCCCUCCCUCUCGCUCCCAGACCUGAGCUGGGGAUGCUGCAGCCCAGGACUCCUCCAGGUUUGGAAAAGGCAGCUACGCUGGGCAAGUUUGGAAAGUUCUGGGAGAAGAGCGAAAGGAGGGAGUGUGUGUUGGCUCUUUUCCUUUCCUUGGAAAGCACUUAACAAGAAUGACACCCUACCCCCACAUCAAAUGCCUUCUCUUGCAGUCCUGGUUGUUUUAUAAAAACUGAGUUCGUGUCUUUAAAGCCAGGAUUUUCUUCCUGGUAGUAAGCAUUGGCUAAUGAUUGCCAGUCGGCUUCUGCGUCUGUGUGCCAUGUGACUUGGAGCCGGCUGUGGUUGUUACUUGUAUUUGAAUAAGAAGAUCAAG
rnacentral:lncRNA from 1 species